rnacentral:ncRNA from 1 species
CGAAGCGAUAAAUAAAAAGGGAAUCCGAUGCAAAGUCGGAGCUGUACCCGCAGCUGUAUACCUCAUCACAACGUAGAGACACUACAAGCCACUGCCCCUAUGGGUGGGAAGGUUGUCUUCGAUACGGAGGAAAGCCAGAAGACCUGCCAUAAUUCAU